AUUUAACGGUGGCGGCAGGCCUAACACAUGCAAGUCGAACGGUAACAGGAAACAGCUUGCUGUUUCCGCUGACGAGUGGCGGACGGGUGAGUAAUGUCUGGGAAACUGCCCGAUGGAGGGGGAUAACUACUGGAAACGGUAGCUAAUACCGCAUAACGUCCGCAAGACCAAAGAGGGGGACCUUCGGGCCUCUUGCCAUCGGAUGUGCUCAGAUGGGAUUAGCUAGUAGGUGGGGUAACGGCUCACCUAGGCGACGAUCCCUAGCUGGUCUGAGAGGAUGACCAGCCACACUGGAACUGAGACACGGUCCAGACUCCUACCUGGAGGCAGCAGUGGGGAAUAUUGCACAAUGGGCGCAAGCCUGAUGCAGCCAUGCCGCGUGUAUGAAGAAGGCCUUCGGGUUGUAAAGUACUUUCAGCGGGGAGGAAGGGAGUAAAGUUAAUACCUUUGCUCAUUGAC
rnacentral:rRNA from 1 species